ensembl:lncRNA
GAGGAACCACCCCUGCACUGCAGAGGAAGGGCCGUGACAAAGAGUACAACAACUUCAGGUGAGAUAUCUGCAUUAUUAUCAGGAUUAUAAGAAGAGUACAACAACUUCAGACUCUGUGGAACAAUGAUUCCAAGCACCUCCCUCCUUUUGAAGUUUCCAGUCUGUUAUUCAAACUCAAUCAGCAUGACAGAGUGAUCUCCAGCCUUGUCCUCCUCAACACUCACACCUGUGUUAACGAGAGAAUCACUGACAUGAUGUCAGCUGGUCCUUUUGUCGCAGGGCUGAAAUGCAAUGGAAAUGUUUUUUGGGGGAUUCAGUUAAUUUGCAUGGAAAAGAGGGACUAAUUAAUAAUAAUAAUAAUAAUAAUUGCGAUUAAUUUCAAUUCAUCUGAUCACUCUUCAUAACAUUCUGGAGUGUAUGCAAAUUGCCAUCAUACAAACUGAGGCAGCAGACUGUGUGAAAAUGUAUAUUUGUGUCAUUCUCAAAACUUUUGGCCACGGCUGUACAAUGUUAAAACAUUCCACAUUGUGACAUCAUUAAAAUACUCCUACUACAA